GACAAAAGCAAGUUCUACAGAGAGAGAUCACAUGGUGAGAGAGGCAGCAAGACGGAGACCAAAUUUGCUUUACAAAAUCAUAUCCUCUCAAGAACUAAUCUACCCUGGAAUAACAGCAUUAAUCCCUUCUGAGGAUGGAACUUCCGUGACCUAACAACCUGCACAAGGCUCACCUCUUACAGGCUCUCCCACUUCCACAUUGCCUCCCUGGGGAACAAGGUUCCAGCACAGGAGUCUUUAAGGAACACACUCUAACAACAUCCAAACCACAGCAAUUUGUAUAGCCAGCCUCUCAGCAUUCACUGAGUUCUUGAAGCUAAGAGGGGUUCCAGAAGGUCCAGAUGUCCAACUUCUUUUAACUGCAUCAGGCUGAGAAGGGGCCAUGACCAUCCCUAACCAAGGACCAAAAGUCUCAUCCUGUCUGAUCUAAAGGAGACAUAGGAAUAUCAGGUAAUCCUUUAUGCAACAGAGUGCUUCAUGGCUCAAGAAUAUGGAUGCUGGUAAUUCACAUAUGCCACGGAGAAGCUGUGAAAUGUUUCCUUUAAAUGAAAAGACAUCCUGCUUUCAGAUGUCUGAUCAAAGGGCACUUAAAUAUCUGAUGGUUCAAAAGGACUAACUCUGAAGAAACUCUGACCCCAGGGAUUAUUCUACUCUGCCAUCCCUUGUUGAAAUCUCCUCAUCACUGUGUUGCUCAGGACUUUCUUUCUGACUUGUCCUGGACAAAAGAUGGUGCUGACAAAGGUGUUCAAACUUUGUCCUCAAAACAACUGUAUGCUGUUUUGCCAAAACAAACAGCCCUCCACUCUACAUGAACCUCCUGGACUUGAAUUUGUUCCUUCUCAGACCUAGAGACCCACUCUACCGCCUAACCAUAUCCAAACUCCCACUUCAGCUUCUCUGAUGGUGCCAUGUUGAAUACGGUCCACUGAGUUUCAUGGAUCCCCAUACACACACUGUUAGAAGACACCCUUCCUAGGACUCUGCUUGCCUGUGAUUCUUGCCUCAGUCUCUGAGCAUCAGACACCUUCCUACUAUGAUAGUUGCCC
ensembl:lncRNA